CUGUAAGAAAAGCACAAAUGUUGCUUCUCUGGUUAGCUGUGACUAGUAAUGGCCCCACUUUGCUAGAAGUUCCUGAUGUAACACAUCUUAAUCCAAAGUAAAGCAUGAAUAAAGUUGAUUUUUCUACUACUUUAGAACAUCAAUAUCAUAGAUUCACUGGAUCUACUUGUAUCUGCAUUUUAGAUGGUCUGCUACUAAAGUCUUGCUGUUUAAAAGGAGCUGCUGUUGUCUGGGUGUGGUGCCUCAUGCCUGUAAGAGCCGUUGAUCCUAAAGGGCCCCUGGAGCUUCAUCUACCUGCAGAACAAGAUAAAUGGGAAAUGCAAAAGUGCUGCUUCAGAGGAGUCCCCAUCCCUCCUCAUGGCAGGUCACACCUACAUGGCUGUCCUC
rnacentral:lncRNA from 1 species